AAUUGAGAAAUGUUGAUAUUGAAGUUGCAAUGAGUCUUGGUAUUUUCCAGAUGGUUUUGAUGAGUUAAAUUGUUUAAAAUAUUAUGUAUUGAGUCUUCAUAUCCUUGUCCAAAUGUCGAGUCAGUUAUGGUUCAACGCAUUGAUACCUUGUUGAUGUUGAGGAAGAUUAAAAUGUUUUGAGCUAAAAUGUGUUGAGUUAGGAA
rnacentral:lncRNA from 1 species